rnacentral:rRNA from 1 species
GAUGAACGCUAGCGGCAGGCCUAAUACAUGCAAGUCGAACGGUAAGAUCUCGCUUGCGAGAUACACGAGUGGCGCACGGGUGAGUAACGCGUAUGCAACCUACCUUCAACUGGAGGAUAGCCCCGAGAAAUCGGGAUUAAUACUCCAUAAUAUCCAGCUUUCGCAUGUUAGCUGGAUAAAAGUCCCGACGGUUGAAGAUGGGCAUGCGUGACAUUAGUUUGUUGGUGAGGUAACGGCUCACCAAGACUACGAUGUCUAGGGGUUCUGAGAGGAUUAUCCCCCACACUGGUACUGAGACACGGACCAGACUCCUACGGGAGGCAGCAGUAAGGAAUAUUGGUCAAUGGACGAAAGUCUGAACCAGCCAUGCCGCGUGCAGGAUGACAGCCCUACGGGUUGUAAACUGCUUUUAUAUGGGAAGAACCCCCUGUACGUGUACAGGGUUGACGGUACCGUAUGAAUAAGCAUCGGCUAACUCCG